AACGUAGGAGACGAGCGUUAUCCGGAUUUACUGGGCGUAAAGCGCGUGUAGGAGGCAUCACAAGUUGGAUGUUAAAUAUCCCGGCUUAACCGGGAGGGGUCGUUCAAAACUGUGGAGCUAGAGUACGGGAGAGGUAAUCGGAACUCCGGGAGUAGCGGUGAAAUGCGUAGAUAUCCGGAAGAACACCAGAGGCGAAAGCGGAUUACUGGCCCGAAACUGACACUAAGACGCGAAAGCGUGGGGAUCAAAC
rnacentral:rRNA from 1 species